CCCUAGCCCUGAUGGAAGCGGCAUCCUUUUGUGGCGGGGUUCGCCGCAAAAGAUAUAGCGGACAGCAGGUAACAGC
rnacentral:sRNA from 1 species